rnacentral:rRNA from 1 species
UACGGAGGGGGCGAGCGUUAUUCGGAAUUAUUGGGCGUAAAGGGCGCGUAGGCGGCCCGGUAAGUCAAAGGUGAAAUCCCUCGGCUCAACUGAGGAACUGCCUUUGAAACUGUCGGGCUUGAGGCCGGGAGGGGGUAGCGGAAUUCCCAGUGUAGCGGUGAAAUGCGUAGAUAUUGGGAGGAACACCAGUGGCGAAGGGCGGCUACCUGGACCGGUUCUGACGCUGAUGCGCGAAAGCGUGGGUAGCAAACAGG